rnacentral:rRNA from 1 species
CACGUAGGGUGCGAGCGUUGUCCGGAAUUAUUGGGCGUAAAGAGCUCGUAGGCGGUGUGUCGCGUCGGCCGUGAAAACCUGCAGCUUAACUGUGGGCUUGCGGUCGAUACGGGCAUCACUGGAGUUCGGCAGGGGAGACUGGAAUUCCUGGUGUAGCGGUGAAAUGCGCAGAUACCAGGAGGAACACCGGUGGCGAAGGCGGUUCUCUGGGCCUUACCUGACGCUGAGGAGCGAAAGCGUGGGGAGCAAACAGG